rnacentral:rRNA from 1 species
AUUGAACGCUGGCGGAAUGCUUAACACAUGCAAGUCGAGCGGGCUGUAGCAAUACAGCUAGCGGCGGACGGGUGAGGAAUACAUAGGAAUCUGCCUCAGAGUGGGGGAUAGCCCGGGGAAACCCGGAUUAAUACCGCAUGAUGUCGUAAGACCAAAGCAGGGGACCGUAAGGCCUUGCGCUUUGAGAUGAGCCUAUGUCGGAUUAGCUAGUUGGCGGGGAAAAGCCCACCAAGGCGACGAUCCGUAGCUGGUCUGAGAGGACGAUCAGCCACACCGGAACUGAGACACGGUCCGGACUCCUACGGGAGGCAGCAGUGGGGAAUAUUGGACAAUGGGCGCAAGCCUGAUCCAGCAAUUCCGCGUGUGUGAAGAAGGCCU